AUACUUACCUGGUAGGGGAGAUAGCAUGAUCACGAAGGUGAUUUUCCCAGGGCAAGACUUAUCCAUUGCACUCCGGGUGUGCUGACCCCUGCGAUUUCCCCAAAUGUGGGAAACUCGACUGCAUAAUUUGUGAUAGUGGGGGACUGUGUUCGCACUCUCCCCUG
rnacentral:snRNA from 1 species